GAUGAACGCUGGCGGCGUGCCUAAUACAUGCAAGUCGAACGCUAAAGGCGGAGCUUGCUCUUCUGGAUGAGUUGCGAACGGGUGAGUAACGCGUAGGUAACCUGCCUUGUAGUGGGGGAUAACUUUUGGAAACGAUAGCUAAUACCGCAUGACAACAGUUGUUGCAUGAUAACUGUUUGAAAGGGGCGACUGCUCCACUACCAGACGCAGCUUCGUUGUUUGAGCUUGUUGGUGUGGUAACGGCUCACCAAGGCGGGGAGACAUAGCGGACCGGUGAGGGGGGUCAGCCACACUGGGAGGGGGACACGGCCCAGAGUGCUACGGGAGGGAGCAGGAGGGAAGCUUCGGGAAGGGGCGGAAGUCUGAGCGAGAUACGCCGCGGGCGUGUAGAAGGAUGUCGGGUCGUAAAGCACGGUUGUAAGGGAAGAACGAGUUUGAGAGUGGAAAGUUCACACUGUGACGGUAUCUUAUCAGAAAGGAACGGCUAACUACGUG
rnacentral:rRNA from 1 species